UACGUAGGGUGCAAGCGUUGUCCGGAAUUAUUGGGCGUAAAGAGCUCGUAGGCGGUCUGUCGCGUCGGAUGUGAAAAUCCAGGGCUCAACCCUGGACCUGCAUUCGAUACGGGCAGACUAGAGUUCGGCAGGGGAGACUGGAAUUCCUGGUAUAGCGGUGAAAUGCGCAGAUAUCAGGAGGAACACCGGUGGCGAAGGCGGGUCUCUGGGCAAUUCCUGACACUGAGGCGCGAAAGCGUGGGGAGCAAACGGG
rnacentral:rRNA from 1 species